GAGGGUAUAGCUCAAGUGGUAGAGCGCAUGCUUAGCGUGCACGACAUCCUGGGUUCAAUCCCCAGUACCUCCU
rfam:Camelus ferus unplaced genomic scaffold scaffold16133, whole genome shotgun sequence.